UACGGGGGGCGCAAGCGUUGUUCGGAUUUACUGGGCGUAAAGGGCGCGUAGGCGGCCACCGCAAGUCGAUUGUGAAAUCUCCGGGCUUAACUCGGAAAGGUCAACCGAUACUGCGGGGCUAGAGUGCAGAAGGGGCAACUGGAAUUCUCGGUGUAGCGGUGAAAUGCGUAGAUAUCGAGAGGAACACCUGCGGCGAAGGCGGGUUGCUGGGCUGACACUGACGCUGAUGUGCGAAAGCUAGGGGAGCGAACGGG
rnacentral:rRNA from 1 species